rnacentral:pre_miRNA from 1 species
AAAAAGACAAACACUGAGUUUUCGUGUUCAAUAUUUGACCGUCCGUCUUAUAUGGAAUUUUUUAUAAUUAGUAUUUUCAUUGUUGUUAGAUGAUAAAAUAUAAUUAAUAUUUUAUGCAUAACUUAUCUUUUUAAUUUUUUUUAUAUAAGAUAGAUGGUCAAACGUUAGACACGAAAAUCUAGAGUUUAUCUUUUU